rnacentral:rRNA from 1 species
GCUGGCGGCGUGCCUAUACAUGCAAGUCGAGCGGACAGAAGGGAGCUUGCUCCCGGAUGUUAGCGGCGGACGGGUGAGUAACACGUGGGUAACCUGCCUGUAAGACUGGGAUAACUCCGGGAACCGGAGCUAAUACCGGAUAGUUCCUUGAACCGCAUGGUUCAAGGAUGAAAGACGGUUUCGGCUGUCACUUACAGAUGGACCCGCGGCGCAUUAGCUAGUUGGUGAGGUAACGGCUCACCAAGGCGACGAUGCGUAGCCGACCUGAGAGGGUGAUCGGCCACACUGGGACUGAGACACGGCCCAGACUCCUACGGGAGGCAGCAGUAGGGAAUCUUCCGCAAUGGACGAAAGUCUGACGGAGCAACGCCGCGUGAGUGAUGAAGGUUUUCGGAUCGUAAAGCUCUGUUGUUAGGGAAGAACAAGUGCAAGAGUAACUGCUUGCACCUUGACGGUACCUAACCAGAAAGCCACGGCUAACUACGUGCCAGCAGCCGCGGUAAUACGUAGGUGGCAAGCGUUGUCCGGAAUUAUUGGGCGUAAAGGGCUCGCAGGCGGUUUCUUAAGUCUGAUGUGAAAGCCCCCGGCUCAACCGGGGAGGGUCAUUGGAAACUGGGGAAACUUGAGUGCAGAAGAGGAGAGUGGAAUUCCACGUGUAGCGGUGAAAUGCGUAGAGAUGUGGAGGAACACCAGUGGCGAAGGCGACUCUCUGGUCUGUAACUGACGCUGAGGAGCGAAAGCGUGGGGAGCGAAC